UAGGAUAUCGCAUCCUAUGCCUACGUAUCUCAUCUGGAAUGAGAAUCAGAGCUACCGUAGUUCGGCUCACGCACGCCGAAACAAAACACACGCACAGACGCUGAGACGUCAAAACAAACACACCAACAGGCAAACAUGGAAAUCGAAUGCCAAUCGCUGGACUUACAUCAGACUCCGAACCAAACAAACCCACACUGGAAACCGACUGCCAAUCGCUGGACUUACGUCAGACUCCA
rnacentral:lncRNA from 1 species